UACUAAUUUAAGUUCCUGCUGUAUGUGUGGAACAAACAACUGUGUGCUUGUAAAGUUCAGAGUAAUAUUGCCCACUGUGCAUAAACUAUGUUGAUCUGGCUGAGGAAUUUACUUCUAAUGGCUGCAGUUCUGGAGUGCAAUGCACAAGAUUCUGUUAAUCAGCCAAAAAGAGUUCAAACUGCUUCUGAACAUGAGAUGGUUAAACUUCACUGCACUUACAGUACCAGUGACCGAAACCCUUAUCUUUACUGGUACCAACAUAAAACCAAUGGAUUCCCAGUUUACAUGCUCCGUAAACUCUCGUCUGGAUCAAGCAGCAGUGAAAAAGAAUUUGAGGAAAGAUUUCAUGCUGAACUCAACAAAUCCUCAGUUUCUCUGUCAAUCCAGGACGUGCGUGUGUCUGACUCUGCUGUUUACUACUGUGCUCUGCAGCCCACAGUGACUGAAACACAUAAACAUCCUGACAAGAACUAAGAGCUCUGAGAUGUGCCGUUAUUGACAUGAUUAAGUUUUCACUACAAUAAACACACUCCAGCAGUGGGUGAAGCUUAUGGUUGAGAGUGUGAGACAGACUGAAACAGUUACAGUUAUUCAGAUACUAUUGUUGUUAUCACUAUGAUUGUAAGGACAUGAUGGUUC